rnacentral:rRNA from 1 species
GGAAUUUUGGACAAUGGGCGAAAGCCUGAUCCAGCAAUGCCGCGUGAGUGAAGAAGGCCUUCGGGUUGUAAAGCUCUUUUGUCAGGGAAGAAACGGUGGCCUCUAAUACAGGCCGCUAAUGACGGUACAUGAAGAAUAAGCACCGGCUCACUACGUGCCAGCAGCCGCGGUAAUACGUAGGGUGCAAGCGUUAAUCGGAAUUACUGGGCGUAAAGCGUGCGCAGGCGGUUUUGUAAGUCUGUCGUGAAAUCCCCGGGCUCAACCUGGGAAUUGCGAUGGAGACUGCAAGGCUAGAAUCUGGCAGAGGGGGGUAGAAUUCCACGUGUAGCAGUGAAAUGCGUAGAGAUGUGGAGGAACACCGAUGGCGAAGGCAGCCCCCUGGGUCAAGAUUGACGCUCAUGCACGAAAGCGUGGGGAGCAAAC